rnacentral:rRNA from 1 species
UUAAGGUAUCAAGGGCAAUGGACGGAUGCCUUGGUACAUACGGGCGACGAAAGACGCAGCAAGCGGCGAAACGCCGCGGCGAGCCGCAAGCAGGCAUUGACCCGCGGAUCUCUGAAUGGGGCAACCCCACGGAAGCAGUUCCGUGACACCUAAAGGUGAGCAACCCGGAGAAGUGAAACAUCUCAGUACCCGGAGGAAAAGAAAUCGAAGAGAUCCCCCAAGUAGUGGUGAGCGAACAGGGGCCAGUCCAAACCAACUCAGUGCAAGGCAGCAGCCGUUGCUGAGAUUGGGGUAGCAGGACCGUCGAGGAAGCGCUGCUGAGCUUCCACAGAGUUACAAAGAGAUGGCAUAGACGAAUCGUGUUGGAAAAGCGAGCCGGAGAAAGUGAAAGCCUUGUAGCCGAAAUGCCAUUUCCUCUGCGACGAGAUCCUAAGUAGAGCGGGGCACGAGAAAUCCCGUUUGAAGCAGGGCCGCCCAUGGUCCAAGACUAAAUACCGUAUGUAACCGAUAGCGCAUAGUACCGAGAGGGAAAGGUGAAAAGCACCCCGGGAGGGGAGUGAAACAGACCUGAAAUCCAUUGCCUACAAGCAGUUGAAGCGGGAAGAGCAGCGAUGCUUGGAACGUAACAGCGUGCCUAUUGAAAAAUGAGCCGGCGAGACAUUGUGUGCAGCGAGGUUAAGGGAUAAAAGUUCCGGAGCCGAAGCGAAAGCGAGUUCGAAUAGAGCGCUAAGUUGCCUGCAAUGAACCCGAAGCCUGACGAUCUAGCCAUGGGCAGGUUGAAGUGGGGGUGAAACCCCAUGGAGGACCGAACCAGUGCCUGUUGAAAAAGUCUUGGAUGACCUGUGGUUAGGAGUGAAAAGCUAAUCGAGUUAGGUAAUAGCUGGUUCUCCCCGAAAUGCAUUGAGGUGCAGCCUUAAUUGUUUCGUAGCGAGGGUAGAGCGACUGACAGCUCAAGUGGUCCUGGGGGAUUUGCGCGAGCUAUCAAACUCCGAAUAGCGCUACGUGAAGAUUAGGAGCGAGACUGCGGGUGAUAAGGUUCGUGGUCAAAAGGGAAACAGCCCAGAUCAUCAGCUAAGGCCCCAAAGAGCAUGCUAAGUGUGACAAGGAUGUGGGGACCCCGAAACAGCCAGGAGGUUGGCUCAGAAGCAGCCAUCCUUUAAAGAGUGCGUAACAGCUCACUGGUCGAGGAUCCCUGCGCCGAAAAUGUAGGGGGCUAAGCAUGCCGCCGAAGCUAUGGGAUGUAGCAAUACAUCGGUAGGGGAGCGUAGUCAGCGGGCCGAAGCUAAGUUGUAAAGCUUAGUGGACUGCUGAGUAGUGAGAAUGCCGGCAUGAGUAACGACAUAUUUGCGAGAAUCAAAUACACCGGAAGACCAAGGGUUCCUGGGGAAGGUUGAUCCGCCCAGGGUAAGGCGGGACCUAAGUCAAGGCCGAAAAGCGUAGAUAAUGGACAGCAGGUUGAUAUUCCUGCCCCGCGCAAUAUCGCUUGACAGAAGCGGCGACGCAGAAAGCUAGACAGAGCUGGCGGAUGGAAGAGCCAGUCCAAGGGAGCAGACCGGGGAGAUAGUUAAGCACGUUUCCCUAAAGUUCAGACCCGAGUGGGAGCCUCAUACGAGGCGAAGCUGUUGAAGCUCAGCUGCCAGGAAAAACCGCUAUGAAGAUAUUGAGCGCCCGUACCCGAAACCGACACAGGUGGUCAAGCUGAGCAAGCUAAGGUGAGUGGAAUAACUCUCGUUAAGGAACUCUGCAAGUUAACUCCGUAACUUAGGGAGAAGGAGUGCUGGAGACGUUAACAGUGAUGUGAAGCGUUAUCCAGCCACAGAAACCAGGCUCAAGCGACUGUUUAACAAAAACACAGGACUCUGCAUAAGACGUAAGUCGAAGUAUAGGGUCUGACGCCUGCCCGGUGCUGGAAGGUUAAAUGGACGAGUUAGACGCAAGUCGAAGCUUCGAAAUGAAGCCCCAGUAAACGGCGGCCGUAACUAUAACGGUCCUAAGGUAGCGAAAUUCCUUGUCGGGUAAGUUCCGACCUGCACGAAUGGCGUAA